UACGGAGGGUGCAAGCGUUGUCCGGAUUUAUUGGGUUUAAAGGGUGCGUAGGCGGCUAAUUAAGUCAGCGGUGAAAUUCCACAGCUUAACUGUGGAACUGCCAUUGAUACUGGUUGGCUUGAGUACAGAUGAGGUAGGCGGAAUUGACAGUGUAGCGGUGAAAUGCUUAGAUAUUGUCAAGAACACCCAUUGCGAAGGCAGCUUACUAAGCUGUAACUGACGCUGAGGCACGAAAGCGUGGGGAUCAAACAGG
rnacentral:rRNA from 1 species